rnacentral:rRNA from 1 species
UACGGGGGGAGCAAGCGUUGUUCGGAUUUACUGGGCGUAAAGGGCGCGUAGGCGGUCGUGACAAGUCACUUGUGAAAUCUCCGGGCUUAACUCGGAACGGUCAAGUGAUACUGUCGGACUAGAGUACAGAAGGGGCAACUGGAAUUCUCGGUGUAGCGGUGAAAUGCGUAGAUAUCGAGAGGACCACCUGCGGCGAAGGCGGGUUGCUGGGCUGAUACUGACGCUGAGGCGCGAAAGCCAGGGGAGCGAACGGG